CAUUCUUCUUACUGCCAACUGCCAGCAGUUCAAUUCUCACUGGCUCAAGGUUGACUCAGCCUUUCAUCCUUCUGAGCUGUAUGUUAAACACCUCCAAUCAAACAAUAACUUGGUUUAAUAAUACAACAAUUAAACAUGAUGAGAAUCAAGAAAGGUGACUACGAUUAUGCUACGGAGCCAGAGGCAUAAUCAAGUUAAGUUAGAAUUGUUUCCUUCAACCGAUUAUGAAGAGGAAUGAAUAAAAAUACUCCUUACAUCUCCACCCACAUACAGAGCCGGGGUGGGCGUGGCCUAUGCGUGAUGCAUCUGGCCCGUGGGCCGCCAGUUUGACAUCCCUGAUUUAGCCUGUCAGGAGGUCGCAAAAGGGGAUCACAUGACUCUGGGAUGCUGCAACCAUCAUCAAUCUGAAACAACGGUCAAGCCCCCGAACGUAAAAUCCCAUGACCAUGGGGGAAUGCUGCUACGGUCCUAAGAAUGAAAAAUGGCCCUGUCAUUUUUUUCCUCAGUGGCGUUCUAACUUCCAACGGUCACUCUGCAAACGCUGUAAGAGGAGGACUACCUGCAAUGAGAACAAACUCCUAAUUUUGCGUCCCUCAUACCGACUCUGACCUAGGGAGGCUUCUUGAGCUGUUUGGCAAAGCAGAAACAAACAGGAUAAUAAUAUCAUCCGGCAAUUGUCCUAAAGCAUUUGAACUUCAACCUUAAUUUCUUCAACCUAAUAAUCCAGGAUCUGAACUCUCUUGGUAAUAUUAUAGUUCCUUCAGGAAACACUUUUCUCCCCAGCCACUCCUUUAGCUCAAGUCUCCUCCUCUUCCUCCUCCUCCUCCUUCCUGCUUCUUUAAACUUCCCGGUUUACAAGACCAGGAUUAGAGAGCGCUGGAUCAGAGCGAAGGUCCCGGGAUUGCAAAAUCCCGUUCCUCACAUUGGGCCAAUCAAUUACCGUAAAUACUCAACGUAAAGGCCCCAAUGAAGCCCCCCCCCCAAAAAAAAGGUGGUGGGGGGGGGAAGCAGCUUUCUCCUGCGGGGG